rfam:Sphaeroforma arctica JP610 cont1.7368, whole genome shotgun sequence.
UACCUGGUCUUUUUUAAGACCACCCUAUCAUUUAAGAAAUGUAUCU